CCAAGCUUACUCUGAGCACCCCCAGAUGCCUAUUUGGAAACACCUUUGACCAACUCCUCAGUUUGGCCCUGAGACUGUUUGGGGACAAAGGAAAAAUGAUAGGAAAUGGGACAACUGGUGAAGCCCUGCAGUGUUUUUUCACACCUAACGCCUGUUAGUUGUAAACUUGUAUAAAGUAUGCGUAAACCAAAUGAAGAAAACUGAAAUUGACUAUGAUUCUAUCAUUUGGAGCUUACCGCUGUUAACGUAUUGGUUGUUUUCAGGUGAGGGUAUAGAAUAGUGGUUGAGAGCCUGGCAGCCUGGGUCGGAAUCCCGUCUGCCAUUUACUGACUGUGUGAACCAGGACAAGCUACUUAACCACUCACGAUUCAGUCUUCUCUUCUGUGAAAUGGUACAGGUAAUAAUAAUGCUACAACACAGAGUUGUGAAGAUUAGAUGUAUUAAUAUAUGUAAAACAUUUAGAACAGCUUUGGGCACAUAGUACUCUGUAUUUUGAAGCAAAAGAAAACCUGAUAUAACCAGCUUAAACAACCAAGAAAGUGUGUCGGAUGACAAAAUUGCAAAGUUAUAUAAUUGCAACCUUCAGAGGUAGGGCAGGCUGUUGAUCAGAGCUUUCAUAGUUUCUCUACAACUGUCCUAUUCAGAUGUCUAGGCCUCACAUCCCCCAGUUCAGAAGAACAGAGCCUGCUUUCCUACCUCCAGUCAUUAAACAAAAGGCAUAGGCUUCCCAACUGAAUGAAUUUAGGUCACAUGCCUGCUUCUAAACCAUUCACAGUAGCCAAGAGAAUCCCUUGCAGUGACCGGUUUCGGGGUGAAUUCCUUUCACAUUUUUGCACUUAGGGGGAUGGGAUCAUGCUGCUUGAGUAGGUGGGAGUAGAAUCAACCGUCUAUGAAUCCCAUGGCUGCGACACAAUG